AGGCCCAGAAAAAGAGGCAGGAUCUGAUCUGCAGCCUCUGUGGCAGCUGUUGAUCAGUUGUUGCCUCUCUCUUUCUUUCCG
rfam:Myotis brandtii contig271024, whole genome shotgun sequence.